GAUGAACGCUGGCGGUGUGCCUAAUACAUGCAAGUCGAGCGAACAGACGAGGAGCUUACUCCUCUGACGUUAGCGGCGGACGGGUGAGUAACACGUGGAUAACCUACCUAUAAGACUGGGAUAACUUCGGGAAACCGGAGCUAAUACCGGAUAACCUGUUGAACCGCAUGGUUCAACAGUGAAAGACGGUCUUGCUGUCACUUAUAGAUGGAUCCGCGUCGCAUUAGCUAGUUGGUAAGGUAACGGCUUACCAAGGCAACGAUGCGUAGCCGACCUGAGAGGGUGAUCGGCCACACUGGAACUGAGACACGGUGCAGACUCCUACGGGAGGCAGUAGUAGGGAAUCUUCCGCAAAGGGCGAAAGCCUGACGGAGCAACGCCGCGUGAGUGAAGAAGGUCUUCGGAUCGUAAAACUCUGUUAUUAGGGAAGAACAAAUGUGUAAGUAACUAUGCACGUCUUGAAGGUACCUAAUCAGAAAGCCACGGCUAACUACGUG
rnacentral:rRNA from 1 species